rnacentral:rRNA from 1 species
UACGUAGGGGGCAAGCGUUGUCCGGAAUUAUUGGGCGUAAGGAGCGCGUAGGCGGUCCGAUAAGUCGGCUGUGAAAGUCAGGGGCUCAACCCUUGAAAGCCGGCCGAUACUGUCGGACUAGAGUCCGGAAGAGGCAAGUGGAAUUCCCGGUGUAGCGGUGAAAUGCGCAGAUAUCGGGAGGAACACCAAUGGCGAAGGCAGCUUGCUGGGACGGUACUGACGCUGAGGCGCGAAAGCGUGGGGAGCAAACAGG